CUCAGCGGUGUUGUCCGCCCGCCUGCCGGCAGAGGGAAUUCCUGCGCGGCAUAGCUCGCCGUCUCUCCCCCGGUGGCCCGCUCGCAUAACUGGCUCAAUGAAAUUCGUGGGGGGAAAAAAGAAUCAGUGAGUUGGAGGGAUCUCAGUGGGACUUUAAAUGAGAAGCUUGAAGAAUUGAGGAUCAUACAUUAAGGACAUGCCCUGCGAUUGGCUGGCAACCAGUUCAAGGUGUAUCACGCCUCCUACCCAAUGACAGCUGGGAUUAACUCCUGCACUCCCGCAACCCUUCAUGAUCCCAAGCGUCCACUUCAAUCUCGAUGUAAUAAUCAAACAAGAUGCAGGAAAUUGAACAUUUUGCAAUCAUGUCAGACUUUUUGGUGUCCUGCCGCAUUUGAUUGGCGUCGAGCGAAACACCGAGACGCCACACCUCCUCCAAGAAAGGUCAGACGAGUGAGGCUGCCGUCGCAACGCUAGGUUUGAAAGCUGGCCAACGGAGGCUAUAGGAGGUAAAAACUCUCGGGUCAAGCGGCAGCGUGUCGAUUCACCGUGGAAUAAUCCGGCGUGAUGGCUGCGCAGCCUCGAUAAUGGCGGCUAAUCAUGACAGUGAUUGGGAUGUGCGGCGCCCUCUCGUUACGUUCCUUACUGACUCUCGCACACAUUUUGUGUUUCUUCUGUCACCCUAUAAUGGGCUCUCAGUCAGGUGAAGAGUGGCACUUCUUUUGUAUGGUCACUCCACACCAGUUGACCAUUUUUGUGUUAUAGUCUUCCUUUAGUGCAACAUUUAAUGAAGAAUCAUACAAUAAUUCUACACUGUUAUAGUCACUAGUAGAAAACAGAGUUACACACAUUUGUAGAGUGGCCCUCUUGAGGAUGGAAUAAGAUUCCAUACAAAAGGAACAUUAUAAUUAGUAAACAAAGCCAUUCUUAUGAGAUUUUUUUUUCAUACAAAAUGAAAAUUGUUGUAAUUAUAACUACAUUUAGAAUUGAUUGAUCCAUUUGGGUGUGUUCUUUUAUAGCGUUUUAUAUAAACCCUAUUUCCAUUGCACUUGGGACAUCAAUAAAAACAGAUUACAAUGAUUUGAAAUCCUUUUUAAACAAUGCUCAAUUCAUCAAUAUCAUAAACUGAUAGUUAUUAUAUAUGUAUUCAAUCAUUUUAAAAUUGAUGCCUGCAACAUGUUCCAAAAACCUACGAUGGACACGUUGGCCACCGUGUUGUUACCUUUGACUCAAUAAACAUUUGGAAAUUGAGCGCAGUAAUUGCUGAAGCGUUAUAAAUGGAAUUCUUUCCCAUUCGUGUACUAUGUAUAAUUUCAUUUGCUCAACAGUUCAGGGUCUCCAUUGUCAUAUUUUGAGCUUCAUAACAUGCCGCACAUUAUCAGUUGACCAAUCUGGUGCUGUUUUUUACUACAAAGUCACGCUGUUGUAAUGCAUGCGGAAUGUGGCUUGGGGUUGUCAUUGGUGAAACAAGCAGAGACAUCUGAAACCUGUAUGUAUAUUUCAGCAUUAAUGGUGCCUUCACUGACGUGCAAGUUAGCCCUUCCGUGGGCAUGAGCGUACCAUCACAGCUGCUGGUUUUUGAAUAUUGCACCGAUAACAAUUCUUUUCCUCUUUGACCCGGAGGACAUGACAUACUAUAUAUGAUUUCCAAAAACAAGUUGAAACGUGGGCUCGUCAAACCACAGCACACUUUUUUCACUCUGUGUCAGUGCUGAUCAGAGGAGUUCAGGCCUCGAGAUGUCUCCGGGUGUUUUUUGUAAAUUUGCAUGGUAGAGCUUUAACCUGCAUUUGUAAUGUAGAUACAGCGAAGAACUAUGUUAACGGGCAAUGGUUUUCUGAAAUGUUCCUGAGCCAAUGUGGCAAGAUCCUUUACACAAUUAUGGCAGAUUUUUAGCGCAGUUCCGCUUCAUGAAUCGAAGAUCACGGGCAUUCAGCCUUCCCGUUUUCAUACAGAAAUUUUUCCAGAUUCUCUGAAAUCUUUUGAUAAUACGUAUCAUGGAGCACAGAUGAUAAUAUGCCGAAAGUCCUCGAAUGUAUACGGAUGCAUUCAUUGCACCACACGCCAUCCGUGCUUGUGAACAACUGAGCCUUUCUGGGAUGCUCCUUUUAUUCCCAUUCGUGACACCUGUUUUCAAUUAACCCCCUCACCUGUCUAAUUUGUUGGUGUUUUUGUGGUAUUCUUCUCCUUUCUUCACCAGCCUAUUGGCUCUGUCCCAGCUUUUUUGGAACAUGUUGUAGGCAUCAAAUUUAAAAUGACAAAAUAUUGGAGGGGGGGAGGUUGGGGUUGAUGACAGUUAUGAGUUUUAACAUUAAAUAUCUUUAUGUUGUUUAUUCAAUUGAAUAUUAAUUGAAAAGGAUAUUCAAAUGAUUGGGAUGUAUGUAUUCUAUUUUCAUUUUAGGUUUUAUACAAAGUUCUUCCUUCAUAGAAAUUGAGCUUUAUACAAAAGUAAUUCAUUGUAGUUUGUAAAACAUCAUUUUUCUUUUAGAGCAUGCAUGUUAUUAUACUUUAAUUUGGUUUCUCACUAAACGUAAUUGGGAAAAUUGUGGAGGAUUUAUUUAUUUGAAAGGAUUUUUUUUCUCAUUUGAACCAAAUGUAACUUUUGGGACAGAGUCCUGUUGGAAGUAGGCAUGGGUUGGUCCUUUUGAGCGUCUUGAAGAAUUUCAUUGAAAAGUAAAAACAAAUUGUGAUUGGUAGAAAACAGACCUUUGUAGAAAUGGACUUCUUGAGAUGAAGAGUUGAGAGGGAUUCAUACAAAAUGAACCACACUAAUUAGCACACAAUAUAGCUUUAUUUUCAAACAAUUUGCUAGAUAAAAUCCAUUCCACUCUUUUCUUUAUACAAUCAGAAUUAUAGUAACACUUUCACAAUGCGUAUUCAUUCACACCUCAGAAAAAAAUUUCAUUUUGCUGUCUCCCAUUGUGUGAAUAUAAAAUGGCUGCCUCACCUGGCAGAUCAGCUCACCGAUCCCUCUGGUGUGUUGCAACAGAAUAAUGGGGCUCUCUGCAGCUUGAGUG